UUGGACCUCGACCCACCUUUGUUAUUUGCCAUAGUCUCAAUCCUAAUUCCAAGUCGAAAUUCAAAUGAUAUAUUCUCAAUGUCGCAUCUUGAUUCCCAUCUCAUCUUGAUUUUAUGAUCUCACGACUCA